AAUAGAUACCCAGGUAGUCCACGCCGUAAACGAUGGAUACUAGCUGUUUGAGCGCAAGUUUGAGUGGCUAAGCGAAAGUGAUAAGUAUCCCACCUGGGGAGUACGGGCGCAAGCCUGAAACUCAAAGGAAUUGACGGGGGCCCGCACAAGCGGUGGAGCAUGUGGUUUAAUUCGAUGAUACGCGAGGAACCUUACCAGGGCUUAAAUGUAGAUUGACGUAUUUGGAAACAGAUAUUUCUUCGGACAAUUUACAAGGUGCUGCAUGGUUGUCGUCAGCUCGUGCCGUGAGGUGUCAGGUUAAGUCCUAUAACGAGCGCAACCCCUGUUGUUAGUUGCCAGCGAGUAAUGUCGGGAACUCUAGCAAGACUGCCAGUGUAAACUGUGAGGAAGGUGGGGAUGACGUCAAAUCAUCACGGCCCUUACGUCCUGGGCCACACACGUGCUACAAUGGCCGGUACAGAGAGCAGCCACUUAGCGAUAAGGAGCGAAUCUAUAAAGCCGGUCACAGUUCGGAUCGGAGUCUGA
rnacentral:rRNA from 1 species